UAGAUAAGAUUUUAACAACUCUGAGCUAUUAGUUAAGUUCUCCCCAAACGAGCUUGAUGGGCCGAAUGGCCUCCUCUCGUUUGUAAAUUCCUUAUGUUCUUAUGUUCUUAUGUUUCUUAUGUUGUGCUUUUCUCAACUCAGCCCUAUGCUUUGAUUUCCUAUAUAAUGCACAUACUUCUAAUACUUACACUUGGAUUCAGACUUAAAUAUUCUGUGCAUUCGUGCAUAAGAAGAAACCUGGAACAGUGGAACAUCGAAGCUACUAAAGUAAAUUCUCUUGAAUACGCUACAACAAUCAGCACUGUGUAACAUCUUUUCUUCAACAGGUCACCUCCCAAAAAUACUAGACUUUGAAGCAAACCGAAAAGAAGCAGCUGAUGUCACCCUGGAUCCUGAUACAGCACAAGCUGGGCUGAUCAUCUCUGAGGAUGGGAAAGAAGUCACAUAUAGAGGCAAUAAGCAGGGAAUUGAUUACUCAUUCUUUUAUAACUUACUGGUUAAUUUAAA